GACGAACGCUGGCGGCGUGCCUAAUACAUGCAAGUAGAACGCUGAAGGAGGAGCUUGCUUCUCCGGAUGAGUUGCGAACGGGUGAGUAACGCGUAGGUAACCUGCCUGGUAGCGGGGGAUAACUAUUGGAAACGAUAGCUAAUACCGCAUAACAGUAGAUAUUGCAUGAUAUCUGCUUGAAAGGUGCAAUUGCAUCACUACCAGAUGGACCUGCGUUGUAUUAGCUAGUUGGUGAGGUAACGGCUCACCAAGGCGACGAUACAUAGCCGACCUGAGAGGGUGAUCGGCCACACUGGGACUGAGACACGGCCCAGACUCCUACGGGAGGCAGCAGUAGGGAAUCUUCGGCAAUGGACGGAAGUCUGACCGAGCAACGCCGCGGGAGUGAAGAAGGUUGUCGGAUCGUAAAGCUCUGUUGUAAGAGAAGAACGAGUGUGAGAGUGGAAAGUUCACACUGUGACGGUAUCUUACCAGAAAGGGACGGCUAACUACGUG
rnacentral:rRNA from 1 species